UGCAUGACAAAGAAGACAUGGAAACAGUGUA
rnacentral:piRNA from 1 species